rnacentral:tRNA from 4 species
GCUAGUGUGGCUCAGUCGGUAGAGCAGCUGAUUCGUAAUCAGCAGGUCGCCGGUUCAAGUCCGGCCACUAGCUCCA